rnacentral:rRNA from 1 species
UACGAAGGGGGGCGAGCGUUGUUCGGAUUUACUGGGCGUAAAGGGCGCGCAGGCGGUCAUUUUUGUCGAGUGUGAAAGCCCCGGGCUUAACCUGGGAACUGCGCUCGAAACGGGAUGACUAGAGAUCGGGAGAGGAGAGUGGAAUUCCCAGUGUAGAGGUGAAAUUCGUAGAUAGUUGGGAAGAACACCGGGUGGCGAAGGGCGGCUCUCUGGACCGAUACGUGACGCUGAGGCGGCGAAAGCGUGGGGAGCAAACAGG